rnacentral:lncRNA from 1 species
GGGUUCGCCUUGAUGUCUUGCUUCAUCACCAUGAACUAAGAAACUUUUUCAACGGACAUCGAAGGCACACUUAAUUGGGUUCAGUUUCAUUCGAUAUCUCCUCAGGAUGUCGAAAGCUUCUGUCAGGUCAUCGAUAUGAAGAGUAGCUUCCUUACUUUUUACGAGCAUAUCGUCGAUGUAGACCUUCAUGUUACAAUCGAUCUGAUUCUUGAAGACUUUGUUGACCACCCUUUGAUAUGU